GAUGAACGCUGGCGGCGUGCCUAAUACAUGCAAGUCGAGCGAACAGAUGAGGAGCUUGCUCCUCUGACGUUAGCGGCGGACGGGUGAGUAACACGUGGAUAACCUACCUAUAAGACUGGGAUAACUUCGGGAAACCGGCGCAAAUACCGGAUAAUAUAUUGAACCGCAUGGUUCAAUGGUGAAAGACGGUUUUGCUGUCACUUAUAGAUGGAUCCCAGCCGCAUUAGCUGGUUGGUAAGGUAACGGCUUACCAAGGCAACGAUGCGUAGCCGACCGGAGAGGGUGAUCGGCCACACUGGAACUGAGACACGGUCCAGACUCCUACGGGAGGCAGCAGUAGGGAAUCUUCCGCAAUGGGCGAAAGCCUGACGGAGCAACGCCGCGUGAGUGAUGAAGGUCUUCGGAUCGUAAAACUCUGUUAUUAGGGAAGAACAAAUGUGUAAGUAACUAUGCACGUCUUGACGGUACCUAAUCAGAAAGCCACGGCUAACUACGUG
rnacentral:rRNA from 1 species